rnacentral:rRNA from 1 species
CCUACGGGUGGCAGCAGUGGGGGAUAUUGCACAAUGGGGGGAACCCUGAUGCAGCGACGCCGCGUGGGUGAAGAAGCGCCUCGGCGCGUAAAGCCCUGUCAGCAGGGAAGAAAAUGACGGUACCUGAAGAAGAAGCCCCGGCUAACUACGUGCCAGCAGCCGCGGUAAUAUGUAGGGGGCAAGCGUUAUCCGGAUUUACUGGGUGUAAAGGGGGCGCAGACGGCGAUGCAAGCCAGGAGUGAAAGCCCGGGGGCCAACCCCGGGACUGCUAGUGGAACUGCGUGGCUGGAGUGCAGGAGGGGCAGGCGGAAUUCGUGGUGUAGCGGUGAAAUGCGUAGAUAUCAGGAGGAACACCGGUGGCGAAGGCGGCCUGCUGGACUGCAACUGACGUUGAGGCCCGAAAGCGUGGGGAGCAAACAGGAUUAGAUACCCGUGUAGUC